GGUGUGGCAAAGGAUUUGGGUGAUAGUAUUGGUUUUGUAGCUGGGGCUUUGUGUGAGGUCUUACCCAUUUGGGCCCUUCUGCUGAUUGGGGUGUUUCAGAACUUUGUUGGGUAUGGUUUGGUUUGGCUAAUAGUCAUCGGAAAAUUGCCUUCUUUGCCGCUCUGGGUGCUCUGUGUUGCUGUAUUUGUGGGGACAAAUGGUGAAACCUACUUCAACACUGCAGCUUUGGUUUCUUGUGUGCAAAACUUCCCCAAAAGUCGGGGUCCUGUUGUUGGGAUACUGAAGGGAUUUGCUGGGUUGAGUGGUGCAAUUCUGACCCAGAUUUAUACUAUGAUCAAUUUCCCUAAUGAAGCAUCAUUGAUUUUCAUGGUAGCAGUUGGGCCAUCGAUGGUGGUUAUUGCUCUAAUGUUCAUUAUUAGACCUGUAGGAGGUCACAAACAAGUUAGGCCCUCUGAUGACUCAAGCUUCUUAUUUAUCUACGGCAUCUGCCUCACUCUGGCUGCUUAUUUACUGGGAGUCUUGAUACUUGAGGAUUUAGUGGAUGUGAACCAAACUUUGGUCACAUUAUUUGCCGCAGUUUUGAUAAUUCUUGUGUUACUUCCUAUUAUAAUUCCCAUUCUAUUGGUUUUCUUCUUUCAACAAAGAUCUCAAGUAGAAGAGAGUCUUCUUUCUGAACCAGAUAAACAAGGACGUAAAUCUGGGCAGGAGCUGGAUGGAAAUGAGGUCCUUCUAAGUGAGGUUGAAGAUGAGAAGCCUGCAGAAGUGGAGUCACUUCCAGCAUUAGAAAGACAUAAACGAAUAGCUCAUCUGCAAGCUAAACUGUUCCAAGCAGCUGCAGAAGGAGCAGUGAGAGUCAAGCGGAAAAGAGGUCCACGUAGAGGGGAGGAUUUCACUUUGAUGCAGGCAUUAAUCAAGGCAGAUUUUCUGCUUAUGUUUUACUCUCUCAUACUGGCUUCUGGAUCGGGUUUGACAGUUAUUGACAAUUUGGGUCAGAUUUGUCAAUCUUUGGGGUAUAGCAAUACAAACAUUUUUGUAUCCAUGAUUAGCAUUUGGAACUUUCUUGGCCGUGUUGGUGGUGGCUACUUCUCUGAAGUUAUCAUUAGAAAUUUUGCCUACCCAAGACCAGUGGCCAUGGCUGUUGUUCAGAUUAUCAUGGCUAUUGGACUCUUCUAUUAUGCAAUGGGAUGGCCUGGAGAAAUUUAUGUUGUGAGCAUUUUGAUAGGGCUCGGCUAUGGUGCCCAUUGGGCAAUUGUGCCUGCUGCAGUAUCAGAACUAUUUGGACUAAAGAGUUUUGGGGCCUUGUACAAUUUUCUUACACUGUCUAGUACUGCCGGUUCUCUAAUAUUCUCUGGUGUUAUUGGUAGCGGUAUAUAUGACUAUUAUGCGGAGAAACAAGCAGGCAUCCAAAAGCUAAAUUCAGAAUAUAUGCGUACAAUGCAACUUCGUGAGGAAUCACUUACUUGUGUGGGUUCCAUAUGUUAUUCCCUCACUUGUGGGAUAAUGUCAGGUGUUUGUGUUAUUGCAAUGAUCUUGAGUUUGAUUGUGGUUCAUCGGACUCGGAGCGUAUACGCUCAGCUCUAUGGAAGGACUAAUGUUUGAGUUGCAAGGAGAAGCAACUAUAAAUUGCUUUCCAUUCACUAAUGGCUGAGGAUCUUGCGUACCAAGAUCAUUGAAGGAGAAACUUUUAUUACGACAUAAAGUAAAUACCAAACAAAUCAAGGACGGUCUUUUCAUUAAAUUAUCCUCAAAACAAAUUGUAUUUCUUGCAUGAUUCGGAAGCUUCUGCUUCUCAGACCUGCAAGUUAUUUUGUUAGGCCAGG
rnacentral:misc_RNA from 1 species